rnacentral:tRNA from 1 species
AGUCCUGUAGCUCAGUGGUCAAAGCACUCGCCUCAUAAGCGAGAGGUCCUGGGUUUGAUUCCCAGCAGGGUGA